rnacentral:rRNA from 1 species
UACGGAGGGUGCAAGCGUUAUCCGGAUUUAUUGGGUUUAAAGGGUCCGUAGGCGGAUCUGUAAGUCAGUGGUGAAAUCUCACAGCUUAACUGUGAAACUGCCAUUGAUACUGCAGGUCUUGAGUAAGGUAGAAGUGGCUGGAAUAAGUAGUGUAGCGGUGAAAUGCAUAGAUAUUACUUAGAACACCAAUUGCGAAGGCAGGUCACUAUGUCUUAACUGACGCUGAUGGACGAAAGCGUGGGGAGCGAAC